rnacentral:tRNA from 1 species
GUGGCUGUAGCUCACGUUGGUUAGAGCACCCGGAUGUGGCCCGGGAGGUCGGGGGUUCAAUUCCCCUCAGUCACCCA